rnacentral:rRNA from 1 species
UACAGAGGGUGCAAACGUUGCUCGGAAUUACUGGGCGUAAAGCGCGUGUAGGCGGGCUUAUAAGUCAGAUGUGAAAUCCCUGGGCUCAACCUAGGAACUGCAUUUGAAACUGUAAGUCUUGAGUGGUGGAGAGGGAAGCGGAAUUCCUGGUGUAGAGGUGAAAUUCGUAGAUAUCAGGAGGAACAUCUGUGGCGAAGGCGGCUUCCUGGACACCUACUUACGCUGAGACGCUAAAGCGUGGGGAGCAAACAGG